rnacentral:tRNA from 1 species
GCAUAAAUUAAAUUAGACUUCUAAUCUAAUACUUAAUGAUAUCCAUCAUUUUAUGCCCC